UUUUAAGUAUGGACUUGAAUAUGACAGUCUUUUCACUGAUGUCCAGGGAAUUUCUACCUUACAGUGCCCGGGGAAUGGGAUCUGGGGCUAGCUUUCUUCCUGAGAAAACCAGUCCUGGCUUUUGGGAUAUGGCUUCUCAUAUCUUGAAAGUACUCUGAUAUUCUGAAAGGAUGGUUGGUUGACACUACUGAGAGUCUACAGGGAGUGUGGGAAGUUACUCUUAGCAAACCUCAUAUUUUGGAAAGACAGAACCCAGGAAAGUUUAAUAAUUCCUGUAGGGACAGGAGUGCAGGCUGAGGUUGUUCACGGGAUGCAGGUGCUGUUCAACUUCUAAGUGCGGGCUGAGUUUAAUUCAACCCCCUUGGCCAGCACAGGCCCAGACAGGGCCUGGCUCUUUCUAGUCACCAAGUUGCCCUGACUCCCUGCCUUCUAGCAGAAUAACAAUUCGGGGGCAAUGUAGCGCUUGCCUUAUCUUCUUUGGGCUAGUUGGAGUUUCAGAGCAAAUACAUUCUUCUCUAGCCGGCUUAGCUUAAAGUCUGUUUACUUGUCCCCAGGAUAGGUGAAUAUUCAGAGGGCUCUGGGAAUGAGACCCAACAAACUGGACUUUGGUCCUCUCUUGCCACCAAUCACUCUGAUUCCUCCAGCUCCUACCUAGGGGAAUGUGUCAGCUAUAGAAGCAAUCUUGGCAUGCAGACUGGGGCAUAUCUCUUUAGGAAACUAGGUGCUGGGCUCAAAGUGAGCUGGGUUUAAGGUUUUAGUCCCCACAGUUUGGGGACACAAGCCAUUCACACAGCCUGCAACUGGGUCAGCACCUAGGAGGCUUUCAAAAACUGGGGCUCAGAUUUGUUCUGACCUCCAAGUAAAAGAAAUAAACAUUCUAGAGAUGCCCUGACACUGAGAUGGUGGAAGAGGGGAAGUUUCCUCAGUGAGCUGUAGAACAAAUGCCCUAGAAACUGCCCCCUGACAAGUAUCCCACUCAACUCCAGGCCGCGAUGGUUCAGGCAGUGGGGGGAUUUUGCAGACAGCAUCCUCCUCUUUGCUCCUCUCCCCCACCCCACCCCAACCCCGCCGUGUAAACACGAGGACUUUCUCGAGAGCCCUGGAGAGCCGCUCUAGUGGCUUCGGGGCCUGAAACCCCAGGCUUGGCUUGUUUGAUGUUUAGCAUCCCAAAGCGGCUCCCCACCCCCGCCCCAGCCUGGGAACCCCGAGCUCCGGGGCCGAAGAGAAGGGGAAGCAGUUCUCUCAGCUGGAGGGCGGUGGAUUGGCUGGGCUUAGAGAAGUGGCGAAAACUACAGGACUCCCCGCCCUGAGCAGGGGAGAAAGGGAUCCCGGAAUGAUGCGGUCAUCCAUGAGGAUAUAGCUGGAGUCCUAAAGGCCAAGAGGCAGACGGGGAAAGAAAUGUCACAAUUUGGGGGAAUACACUGGAGAUAGGGGCCAGGUCGGUGGAAAUAGCUUGGGGCCACCGCGAAAACAAGGUAAGCGGUGUCUGGGUCCAGUUAGUGAGCAUCGAGAACGGCGUCCACGACUGCAGGGCUAUCAGGGCCUCGAGGAGACAGCGCUCCGUGCCACUGCUUAGUGCUUGGCCUUUCAUAGGGACGAACCUGCUUAGGAGUCUUCCAAGAGAUUUUUAAAUCCUCCGAGUCUGGACCUGGAAGCUCCAUUGGCGACGUUUGGAUCUGGCUUCGUAGUCUUUGAUUUCGAAAGCCCAGGAAGAUUCGCAGACUUUCAAGGCCGCACACACCGCAUUGCCGGGAGUCUGGGCGGCGGUGAGGACUGAGAAGCUGUCUCAAGACCUGAGUCUCUUCUCAGGCGAUCCCAGAUAAGAGGAGAGAGAGAGAGCUUUUCUGACUUCCAACUCAUUAGGGACCAGAUUUGCUCUCCAGCACAGCAAAAGGGUCUGCCUGUGACCCUCACCGAACUCACUCUUCACUGCUUUAUAGAGACCAUCAGACUCAGGACAAAUAUUCUAGUUUGGAUGCGCAAUUAAUAAUAAGAAGAUACAGGACAGAGGCGGACUGAAUGGCUCCAAUUCUCAGAAUGUGAAAGCGUAAAUCAGAACCUACUAUUUUGUAAAACCAACUUGGAAAACAAAAUUGUCAGAAGCAAAACAACAACAACAACAACAAUAAAAACCAAACCAACAACAAAACCAAGCAAGUCAGGCUGUUUUACCAAUAAAGGGGGCACUGAAUGGAAUCAGAGAUCUGAUAAGUGCCGGGAAGUUGGACUAAGAGGGACAGGAGACUUCGAAACUUCUCUGAAUACUGCUUUGCUGCUGACUUCCAAGGAGAUCUCACCAGAGCUGAGCUGAAGCCAGGACCAUAGUGUUAUUGACAUUACCCCCAGAGACAUGAAGAAACAUCUGCUGCCCCUAGAUAUGAAACCAACACAGACCAAACCAACUGUCAGUACUGCAAGUGGUCCACCCACCAAAGAGAUGGAACUCAACGUGGUAGAAUAGAAGCUGAGACAUGUGGACUUGACAGACUUGAGACUCGGCUAUUCAUCCCAGCUCUGAGAGCCCAUGCAGCUCAUUGAGCCUUCGCGACUCCUGGUUUUACUUUCAGCAAAAUGGAGAUAUUAAGAAUAGAUGCCUCCAAGGUGAUUUACACGUUCUUCUUGUCUUGAGGUUUGGGAUUCCCGUUUUGGGUCUGCAGAAUUGAGACAGUGCUCCAGCAAGAAUUCCAUCUCUGUCUGUUUUAUUCCCACUGAAGAGAAAAAUGACUUUAAUGGCAACAACAAAUGCUUCACUUGUUAGCCUUUCUGUUCCCGACCCUGACACAAAUAAACUAAUAUUCCAUCUACCCGGCACCGGCCUGAGCUCUGGGAUCAGUACACGUCAACCUGAACCCGGAAGAGUUCCAAGUAUCUUUCCCCUUCUCUGUCAGGUUCGUGUUACCCUGAACCUGUGAGCUCAGAAGGAAUUUUCUGGUUUUCGGGAGACGGCAGCCAUUCAUCAUAGCUCUCCACCACUGACUGACUGAGAGUCAAUUAUCAUCAAACAUCCAUCUGCCCAUGAUGCUAAUUAUUCCUACUCCAUGAUUGAGGAUUUGGAGUCGGAGACUCACCUGCAAUAUUUGGAAUACCAGUGGAGAUCCAUAUCAACAUGGAAUUUAUACAGCAGCUGGUGCCAGUCACAGCUAAUGAUGAAACUUCAGCUUAAUAAAAAGACCCCCAACUGAGUACAACCAUCUCGAAGAAAGUGUACUUAUCAAACAGCUUUCAAUCAGUUCAAGAGAGACACCUUAAUUGUGAAGAGCAAGAACCGCACAGCAGUUGUCACCAUGCCAACUUCAGAUCAAUGGCACUUCCACUGCUCUUGGUACAUAUAGCCUUGCCUAUGUCCUUAACUGCACCAACAUCCUUCCUGUUGGGAUGAGAUCUUGUCAGCUGCUAGCGUGUGAUGAUGCCUUCGUUCAUUACAUUACUAUACCCCUUAGCAAAAUUUAAACGUGUAAUGAUAAAGGUCACUACCUUUUCCUUUAAUUAAGACCUCUAUUUCUUGUUACCAGAAACAAGUGCCUAUGACAUUUUGUAUUUUCAGAAAUUAUCCUGUUGAAAUAAAGCUACACAAACAAAAUAAAA
rnacentral:sRNA from 1 species